UCACUUUUCGUCAUCAUCACAUGCUGCUCGCGUGAGUUAUCUAAAUUGGUUCUUCAAUGUGCUCUAGCAUCGCCCAUGGAUUUCUGAUGGGAUCAGAGGCUCAUGUGAUUUUCUUUCUUCUUUCGUCUCUUGCUGCUGCGAUGUCUUGAGCUACCAGAAGAACCUUGCCUAAAAUGAUGAUUGACCCAAUUUACCAUAUUUAUCUUCAACAUAACAUACAACGCACCAAAGAGGGGUUACUGUUCACUUUUCGUCGUCAUCACGUGCUGCUCGCGUGAGUUAUCUAAAUUGGUUCUUCAAGGUGCUCCAGCAUCGCCCAUGGAUUUCUGAUGGGAUCAGAGGCUCAUGUGAUUUUCUUUCUUCUUUCGUCUCUUGCUGCUGCGAUGUCUUGAGCUACCAGAAGAACCUUGCCUAAAAUGAUGAUUGGCCCAAUUUACCAUCUUUAUCUGCUGGAUAUUGGAGAUGAACGCUGUUCUAAAUUUCAACAUAACAUAUUGUCACUUCCUACAGGCUCGGAGAUCUUCACCCUUUUCUUCACCUUGGUUUUCAGAUUGGUUUCUCUUUCUAGGGUUUUCACAUCUCUUUUUCUGUCUGGCUUCUCUUUUCUCCCUAUCCUUUCCUUGCAGACUCUAAUUGUGGCUUCU
rnacentral:lncRNA from 1 species